GGAUCCUUAGGAUAAUUAGUUUCCUUUUCUCUUGUAUUUGUAUUUUGGUUUCUGAAAUUGUUCUCAGUGUAAUCCUUCCAAAUUUUAUGAAUAAAAGAAUUUUUAUGGUUAAUCAAAUUAUUAUUAUUAUAUAUUUGAAAAUAAAAUAGUAUGUUCCUUGAAAAUAAAAAAAAUAAAAACAUUGCAUUUCAUGCAUCAUUUGCAUAAACAGGUUUUCUUCCGCCAAAUG
rnacentral:lncRNA from 1 species